rnacentral:lncRNA from 1 species
GCGAAGAAGACGUACACCAGAAGCUCUAGCGCGCUGAGCGCGGCGAUGAGCCAGUAGAAGUAGUCGAGGUGGCCGCGGUUGAGAUUGUUGGAGAACCAGCUCUGCCCCCUCUCCGACGUCCACUUGUCGAUGCCCGACACGAGGCCGCUGCUGAUGAAGCUGCCGAUGCCGAAGAUGCUGAUGUAGAGCGCCAGCCCGAUGCUGCGCAGCUUGUCGGGCACCUGGUCGUAGAAGAACUCCUGCAGCCCGACCAUGGUGAACACGUCCGCCGCGCCGAACAGCACAUACUGCGGCACCAUCCACCACAGGCUCAUCGGCACCGGCACCUUGGGCAGGUCUGCCAGGCCGGCGUCCGUCGCGAUUCGGAGCCGGCGCGUCUCCACGAGCGCCGCGACCACCAUCGACACGAGGGAGAGCACCAUCCCGACGCCGAUGCGCUGCAGCAUGGUGAUGCCGGAGGGGACGCCGGUGCAGCGCCGCGCCAGCGGCACGAUGGCGCGGUCGUAGAUGGGCAUGAAGAUUACGAUGGUGAUGCUGAUGAAGCUCUGGAGCGCCGCCG